AACGAACGCUGGCGGCAUGCCUAACACAUGCAAGUCGAACGAGACCUUCGGGUCUAGUGGCGCACGGGUGCGUAACGCGUGGGAACCUGCCCUUAGGUUCGGAAUAACUCCCCGACAGGGGUGCUAAUACCGGAUAAUGUCUUCGGACCAAAGAUUUAUCGCCUUUGGAUGGGCCCGCGUUGGAUUAGCUAGUUGGUAGGGUAAAAGCCUACCAAGGCGACGAUCCAUAGCUGGGUUGAGAGGAUGAUCAGCCACACUGGGACUGAGACACGGCCCAGACUCCUACGGGAGGCAGCAGUGGGGAAUAUUGGACAAUGGGCGAAAGCCUGAUCCAGCAAUGCCGCGUGAGCGAUGAAGGCCUUAGGGUUGUAAAGCGCUUUUACCCGGGAUGAUAAUGACAGUACCGGGAGAAUAAGCUCCGGCUAACUCCGUG
rnacentral:rRNA from 1 species